UCCCUGGCAGUUCAGUGAUUAGGACUCUGUGCUUCCACAGCAGGGUACACGGGUUCAAUUCCUGGUCAGGGAA
rnacentral:tRNA from 1 species